UCACUAUGUGCACCAUCAGGGGCGGUAAUUCGUUGGGUGCAAGCGUAUCCAGAAUUUUUGGGCGUAAACGCGCGUAGGCGGUUUAUUAAUUCUGAUGUAAAAAUCCACGGCUCAACCGGGGAAGGUCAUUGGAAUCUGGGAACCUGAGUGCAGAAGAGGGAGAGUGGAAUUCCAUGUGUAGCGGUGAAAUGCGCAGAGAUAUGGAGGAACACCAGUGCCGAAGGCGGCUCUCUGGUCUGUAACUGACGCUGAUGUGCGAAAGCGUGGGGAUCAAACAGGAUUAGAUASCCUGGUAGUCCACGCCGUAAACGAUGAGUGGUAAGUGUUAGGGGGUUUCCGCCCCUUAGUGCUGCAGCUAACGCAUUAAGCACUCCGCCUGGGGAGUACGACCGCAAGGUUGAAACUCAAAGGAAUUGACGGGGACCCGCACAAGCGGUGGAGCAUGUGGUUUAAUUCGAAGCAACGCGAAGAACCUUACCAAAUCUUGACAUCCUUUGAUCGCUCUAGAGAUAGAGUUUUCCCCUUCGGGGGACAAAGUGACAGGUGGUGCAUGGUUGUCGUCAGCUCGUGUCGUGAGAUGUUGGGUUAAGUCCCGCAACGAGCGCAACCCUUAAGCUUAGUUGCCAUCAUUAAGUUGGGCACUCUAGGUUGACUGCCGGUGACAAACCGGAGGAAGGUGGGGAUGACGUCAAAUCAUCAUGCCCCUUAUGAUUUGGGCUACACACGUGCUACAAUGGAUAAUACAAAGGGCAGCGAAACCGCGAGGUCAAGCAAAUCCCAUAAAAUUAUUCUCAGUUCGGAUUGUAGUCUGCAACUCGACUACAUGAAGCUGGAAUCGCUAGUAAUCGUAGAUCAGCAUGCUACGGUGAAUACGUUCCCGGGUCUUGUACACACCGCCCGUCACACCACGAGAGUUUGUAACACCCGAAGCCGGUGGAGUAACCUUUUAUUAGGAGCUAGCCGUCGAAAGGGGUC
rnacentral:rRNA from 1 species